rnacentral:rRNA from 1 species
CCUACGGGAGGCAGCAGUGGGGAAUAUUGGACAAUGGGGGAAACCCUGAUGCAGCGACGCCGCGUGAGUGAAGAAGUAUUUCGGUAUGUAAAGCUCUAUCAGCAGGGAAGAAAAUGACGAUACGUGACUAAGAAGCCCCGUCUAACUACGUGCCAGCAGCCGCAGUAAUACGUCGGGGGCAAGGGUUAUCCGGAUUUACUGGGUGUAAGGGGGGCGUAGACGGCGGAAUAAGUCAGAAGUGAAAGCCCGGGGAUCAACCCUGGGAGGGCUUGUGAAACUGUUUGGCUGGAGUGCAGGAGAGGUAAGCGGAAUGCCUAGUGUAGCGGUGAAAUGCGUAGAUAUUAGGAGGAACACCAGUGGCGAAGGCGGCUUACUGGACUGUAACUGACGUUGAGGCUCGAAAGCGUGGGGAGCAAACAGGAUUAGAUACCCGAGUAGUC